rnacentral:rRNA from 1 species
GUGCCAGCCGCCGCGGUAAUACGGAGGGUGCAAGCGUUAUCCGGAAUCACUGGGUUUAAAGGGUGCGUAGGCGGUCUGAUAAGUCAGAGGUGAAAUACUGUCGCUCAACGAUAGCAUUGCCUUUGAUACUGUUAGGCUUGAAUCAGAAUGAGGUUGGCGGAAUGUGACAUGUAGCGGUGAAAUGCAUAGAUAUGUCAUGGAACACCGAUUGCGAAGGCAGCUGACUGGAACUUGAUUGACGCUGAGGCACGAAAGCGUGGGGAGCGAACAGGAUUAGAUACCCGUGUAGUCC